GAGGCUGUGACCGCUUUUCGACUCUGUCACUCGUCUGAACUUGUGCGGUGGUUCGUGCCGCGCGCGCUUUGUUGGAAGCAUUUUUCUUUUGUUUUUGGACAUCAUGACGCAAGUUUUAGUGAAAUUGCUCUAUGAUGAUAAGUGGGAUGUUUAUCCGUUGAAGACGUUUGCUGACGCAGCUACUGGUCUUCGGGUGAUGUUCGAGCCUGGCAGUUUUGAUGAGUUGCGCGGCAGAAUUCAUGAUGGAAGGAAGGCGAACAAAGCCGCAGUCUGACUUCUGCACACAGGUUACACAUGCACCAAAUGCCCAGGUGCUAACGUGUCGUUCGUCAAGAACAGCUUGGCGUCGUUUCUCGCAAGAGACAUCCAUUGAUCUGCGGCUGAUUCACCAGGAAGCUCGCAUCUCUGUUGCCACUCUGCGUCAAGUGGGAUUUUUAACUAUUUUUAUUCUGCCCUGUGGUGUACGCUGUGACGCUGUGAAGACUUACUUUCAUGGACGCUGUGAAGGCUUACUUUCGAUGUGUUCUGCCUUUUAGUUGUAAAGAAUUGGCUACCUUGUGAGUGGAGGUAGUUCCUUUUUCUUGUGAGAAUGUUUAUCAGCCUAACCAAGUGGUACAUGCGUACUUGAAACAGCAGCACAGACGAGGAUAAUGAAAUAAGUAGGAACACAUACAAGCGCCGACUCAACUAGAAGUUUAUUCUUGAAGACAGGUUGUAAACACAUUGGAACUUGACAAAGAUAAGAAACCAUGUAUGCGUGGCCUUUGUGAUUAAACAAAAUUGUGUUUUCUGCUGUAAGGGGUAGAACGAACAAUUGUUUCAUCACAAAGACCAGAACACAAGAGAAAUUAUGGAAGCCUUAUUUAUUGAUUGCAAAGAAGACAAAUGCAUAAGCUAUCUGUUGCUCUUAAUGGGAAAGAGUUGGGAUUUUUAAAAGAGCUCUCCUUGUUUGGUGGUAUCACUUAUAGGACAUCUUUCACUGUUUUUUUUACCUGCAUAUUUAUACUACAAAACACGUCUUUCGUUCCUUUUUUUUUGUUGCACCGGGCUGUCUGCCACGCAUGCAUGGCUAUUUCUUUGUCAAGUUGGCCAGUGUGCUUAAUAUCUUUGUCGUCACGAACAAACUUCUAGUUGAGUCAGCAUUAUUGUGUGUUCCUACCUUAUUUCACCGUUCUCAUCUUUGUUUGAGCUGUUUGUAAAGUAUGUACACACACCAAAUUACCAAAGUAUCCGUAAAAUUGAGAUACAUGAAGUUAUUUGCACUAUUCAUUUCUGCAAGAAUGGUAUAGCUUCUCAUCUCGUUUGUUCUUAACGUUGUUGUACAGUUUUUGUAAUAUAUAGCUUGGAAAGACGUUUUCUGUCAGAUUAAAUAUGCAUGUAUGUCACUUUCGAUAUUUUUUUUCAACAUGGGUAGUGCAGCUCCUUCCGUCUUUCAGUUACUGCUUUGUCGCAACUUUUAUAUAUUUUAUGCAGCGAAAUGCUGGUGGAAUUAUAUAUAUUUAUGUGCGCAAGUGUGGUAAAUGGUGUUUUGUAUGUGCAUUUAUUUGCGUUUUUUACUAGCUCUCCAAUCUGGCUGUACAGUUAUUGAAACCUUUUCUCAUGCUUUAUAAUGAGUCGUUCUAGGCUCUUUGAUGAUGCAGGUGACCAUUUAUUUCACUGUUGGGAAUUGCGUUAGCUGUGUGUCACUCCAGUUGUCUGUGUAUUUUAUGUCACUUCAUUAUAUCAUUGAAAGUAUUAGCCUUGCAUUAGCUUUUUAUUGACCGAGGUACCAGUCAGUUGCUGUGUAGGGUGAAAAAGGCCCAAAGAAAUGAUUUCAUUAGCUUUGUUCAAGUCCAGAAAAAAAUUCACUGAUGAGCUCACUAAAUUAGAAAAUGCCACCAGGAAACUCUUCCGCACCCAAAAGUAACACAAGAAAUUAAAUACUGUUCACACUCGAGAGGGAAACAGCGCGAAAAAACUCGACAAGAAGGGAGACACACACCAGCGCUUCUUGUCCCUUCUUGUCUUGUGUUUUUUUGCGCUGUUUCCCUCUCGAGUAUGCACCGACUAGCCCAAGCCUCUACUGUCUUGAAAUACUGUGCAGUUCUUGACUUAUGCCAGGGAGGUAAGCUGCUUUUACAGCACAAAUGUUUUAGAAGUUUACCUCUGAAAAACACGAUUCAGGUGUUUUGUAUAUAUAUACAUGAAGUCAUUUGUUUCCAGUUUACUUGUUAUUUUGCCUACUCACAGGCAGCCGUAAACCCUUCUGUGAGUGUUUACUGGGUGUGUGAAGCAUUUUACUGUAAGGUAUCCAGUGGUCUUCAUUUUUGUAUUUAUGCAUGCAAGCCAAGAGUUCAUGUGUUCAAAGUUAGUUACAAGGGUAUGCUUAAGGUCUGCCUUUGAGUCACUUGACUGUUGUUUUUACAAAAUAUUUUUUUCUGCUGUAAUUGUGAAAUAUAAUUCUUUCUGCUGUAAUAAACUUCAAGUUGAGUGAGCAUUCGUGUGUAUUCUUAUCUUAAUUCAGCGUUCGCAUCUCUGUUUGAGCUGCUGUUUGUCAAGUCUGUACAUACACCAAAUUGCCAAAGUGCUCGUAAAAUUGUGACACAUAAGGCUAUUUGCAUUGUUUAUUCCUGCAAGAAGGCUAUAGGUUUCCAUCUUCCGUUUGUUUUUAACAUUGCUGUACAUCUUUGUAGGUCAAGUUCAAGGAGUCCCUUAGCCAAUAAGAGUGAUAACUUUGUAAAAUUUAUCAAUUUCAUCCAUCAUCAUCAUAGUUUUAAACCCACUAAGUUCUACUUUUCAGUUAUCAUGACUCUGCUUUGUGCUGUGCUGUACAGGCACAGGAAGCUUUUUUUAUGCUUUAAGUGCAGGUGGUGUUGUAUUUCUUCCAGAAAACAUUGUUGCGAGUUUAACUAGGCAUGUGUACGCUUUUGUUACAUUUUUUCAGCAUGUGUGCUAUAGUUCUGCUCCCUUACACUUAAUAGCACUGUAGGCACUA